GGCCGGAUGGCAGAGUGGUCAUGCGGCGUACGGCAAAUCCGCGUACGCCGGUUCGAUUCCGACCCUGGCCUCCA
rnacentral:tRNA from 1 species